rnacentral:lncRNA from 1 species
AUGAAUAGGAUAGGAAAAGAAUUGAGUUAACGCCAUUAGCCAUAACUGAAAAUAUGGAAUAUGGAAUAUUCUCUCUUAACCCUCGUGCUCUUAUCUAAACACCAUGUCUUUUCUACUUUUUCUUGAGAUGAAGAAGUCAAAUUGGAAUUACUUGCCAAAGCUGUCAAAGCACGGGUAAAGCUACAGUGAAAGACUUGCGCAGGAAGCUGUUAAGCCCUAUAAAAAUAAGUCACUCGCUCCCCACUUCACUCACUUGUCACCGAAUCAAUCAAAGAAUAGAAAAAGCAACUCCUUGAAGAAAGUUCUUCUUCUCUCUCCCUCUCUGUCUUAUCUUGCUCUGUUUCUCCUCUGUUUUUUUCCUCCUCUUUUCAUUAAAAUUUAAGAAAACAUACCCAUUUCAAGCAAAUGGAACACGAAGCAUUUAAGCUCACCAAGAAGCAAAACCGCCUGCCGCCGGCGAGAGGCCAAGUUCUGAAGAAAAUAUUGAACGAUUGGUUCGGAUCAGCUGGAGGAAAGAGAAGGGGAAAUGGACUUGUUAGUAGGGAUGGCAAAAAUCUCCGCUGGAUUCCAACCCGUGGGGGUCCGGCUCAUUCCGGCCCGGUUCUCGCCCUCGAAACGCUUCAAAAAAUUUUGGGUCUGAUUUUGGGGAAAAACUUGAAGCCCAUAGAAUAAUUCAGAUGGUUUCGGGGCGGGGAUCAUUUUUGAGUAAUCCAUAAAUCUGAAACUCCUAGUGGUAGGCUUAGUAGCUCAAGCGCAUCGAACCCCGCUGAAAGUCCUAAUGGCUACAAUUCAAAUGUUGCCUCUUAGUCUUCAGUCUUGAAUCUUGAUUAGGCUAUCAACUUUAACUGGGGGCUGAUCGUGGCUCAAUUUUUCUUUCUCCUUUUUUCUUUUUUGACAUUUUGUUCUUAGACUUUCUUUUUUUUUCCUUUGGCUUGUCAUUUCUUGUAAUUGAAGAUGAUUAUGGAAGGAUGGGAUUGAUGGUUAAAUAUAGGGAUUUUGGGGGAUGGAUACCCAUGUUCAGGCCUGUGCAUUAUUACUGUGUCUUUGUUUUUGGUUUUGUCUGUAAUGGAUAUAAUUUCUAAUUUUUCAUAGAUUUUGGCAAUUAAGCAAUUACCGUUAUUACUUUUCUUUUUCUUGCUUCUGGCUCUUCAUGCUCUGUCAGAAAUAUGGUGUGUUUUUACUUUUUAGAUUUGGAUCAAAUGGUUGUGGAAUCGAACGAUCACGCGUGGCGCCGGAGUCCGGAUUUUGGUCGAUGGGGA